UACGUAGGGUGCGAGCGUUGUCCGGAAUUACUGGGCGUAAAGAGCUCGUAGGUGGUUUGUCGCGUUGUCCGUGAAAACUCACAACUCAAUUGUGGGCGUGCGGGCGAUACGGGCAGACUGGAGUACUGCAGGGGAGACUGGAAUUCCUGGUGUAGCGGUGGAAUGCGCAGAUAUCAGGAGGAACACCGGUGGCGAAGGCGGCCUUCUGGACAGUGACUGACGCUGAGGAGCGAAAGCGUGGGGAGCAAACAGG
rnacentral:rRNA from 1 species